rnacentral:rRNA from 1 species
AUUGAACGCUGGCGGCAGGCCUAACACAUGCAAGUCGAGCGGAUGAAGGGAGCUUGCUCCUGGAUUCAGCGGCGGACGGGUGAGUAAUGCCUAGGAAUCUGCCUGGUAGUGGGGGAUAACGUCCGGAAACGGGCGCUAAUACCGCAUACGUCCUGAGGGAGAAAGUGGGGGAUCUUCGGACCUCACGCUAUCAGAUGAGCCUAGGUCGGAUUAGCUAGUUGGUGGGGUAAAGGCCUACCAAGGCGACGAUCCGUAACUGGUCUGAGAGGAUGAUCAGUCACACUGGAACUGAGACACGGUCCAGACUCCUACGGGAGGCAGCAGUGGGGAAUAUUGGACAAUGGGCGAAAGCCUGAUCCAGCCAUGCCGCGUGUGUGGAGAAGGUCUUCGGAUUGUAAAGCACUUUAAGUUGGGAGGAAGGGCAGUAAGUUAAUACCUUGCUGUCUUGACGUUACCAACAGAAUAAGCACCGGCUAACUUCGUG